GCACAGUACCGAGUUGGCUUUGGUCGCCUUGGUGGAUGACCUCCGCAGGGAACUGGACAGGGGGAGUGUGACCCUGCUGGUUCUCUUGGACAUCUCAGCGGCUUUCGAUACCAUCGACCAUGGUAUCCUUCUGGGGAGGCUCUCUGGGAUGGGGCUCGGUGGCACAGUUCUGCUGUGGCUCCAGUCCCCACUCCCGAUAUCCCAGACCCGCCUUGUGGGAACAAGAGAGAGGGCCUUUUCUGCUGUGGCCCCCCGAUUGUGGAAUUCUCUGCCCGCGGAGUGUGAUGGAAGCUCCUUUCUUGGAGACUAUUAAACAGGCCAGAUGGCCAUCUGUCAGGGAUUUUUUGAUUGUGCUUUUCCUGCAUGGCAAGGGGUUGGACUAGAUGGAGGAAAGUGGGGUUUAUAUAUCUGUGGAAAGGCCAGGUGGGAGAAAGAACUCUUGUCUGUUUGAGGCAAGUGUGAAUGUUGUGAUUAAUCACCUUGAUUAGCAUUGAAAAGCCUUGCAGCUUCAAAGCCUGCCUGCUUCCUGCUUGGGGGAGUCAUUUGUUGGAGGUGUUAGCUGAUCCUGAUUGCUUCAUGUUUGGAUUUCGCCCUGUUUUCAGAGACUUGUUUUUUUACUUACUGUCUUGAUUUUAGAGUUUUUAAAAUACUGGUCGCCAGAUCUGGUUCAUUUUCAUGGUUUCCUCCUUUCUGUUGAAAUUGUCCACCUGCUUCUUGUGAAUUUCAAUGGCUUCUCUGUGUCGUCUGACAUGGUGUUUGUGAGAGUGGUCCAGCAUUUCUGUGUUCUCAAAUAAUAUCCUGUGUCCAGGUUGGUUGAUCAGAUGCUCUGCUAUGGCUAACUUUUUUGUUUGUGUUAGUCUGCAGUGCUUUUCAUGUUCCUUGAUUCGUGUUUGGGCACUUCAUUUGGUGGUCCCUAUGCAGACUUCUUUCUAAGGAGAAGUGUGAAAUUGUGCCAUUAUUCUGUUCAGUGUUUGAGAAUGAGCCAAACCCUUAUAGAGCUGAACGGGCAGAGAUAAGCUUACGGUGUAUUGCAUAUCAGUUGAAAAGUGUAAACCUCAAGUUAUCGUUCCCCUUUUUUCUUUCUUUUUGCAACCUUGAAACUUUUUUUUGCUUCUAAUGGCAAUUCUCCUGAUUAAGUUUGCUCUCCCUCCUCAUUCACGGAAAAGGGA
rnacentral:lncRNA from 1 species